CGCUGUUAAUCUAAAAGUCGGUUACGUACGUGAGGUGGUGUAGCAGUCCCGUCUGAUAGACUGAGCUAUUUAGUGUUGCGUCCCGAAGCGUUGCUUGAAGCUCCUACUGUCACUGACCGUUUGUCUGGAAUUAGCUAACUCUUACAGGCCUUCAGUCCACGUCUGUGCGUGACCACUUGCAGGUUGAUACAGCUUCUAUCGGCCAUGUAUCCACCCAUUUCAUGCACUGUGUGUAAAGAACGGAUAAUAGCCGCUUCUCGUCCAGAGACUCCCAGAUGCAGUCGUUGUUUCUAGGUCUCAUUAAAACAGCAUUUGUCUCGUGAACUGAGUCCCAAGUCAUCCAGCCAGUAGCCAGUCGCUGGUAUCAGGGCUUACAGUUAGGACAAAUACCUCUUCGUACGAACAGACGACUCUCACGUGUUCUGUCAGUGAUACUGGAUUUCAACAAAUGGAAACUGUCUGUGCUUUGAGAGGGUUUGGUGUACAAUCUCUCCCUCGACUGUCAAGAUUGCAGCUGGGAUUCAUCACCGGCUGCCUCCAGUCACGUUACCAUAUCUGCGUUCUCGUCUGGCUGACUCUGAUGUAGGGAAGUUGUUGUGUGGACCUAUCGCCAUCUUAAUCGCAUUUCCAGAUGCUACAGUGGCAUGCGUGGGAAGUGUAGAAAUACCGGAAACAAGAUAAAUCAGACCCUGAUGAUGGAGGCAGCAAGUACUUUUGAAACGUCGAUAAAGACAAUGUCAGACAACAUGUCGCAACAUCCUAAAAUACAAUCAUAUUUGUUCUCGACGCCGUGAGAGUGCAGCACAAAAUGGAUCUGUAUCUGCAAAAAUAUGAAGAUCACAAAUACUCGUAGAAAGGAAUUAUUAUUGGCAAAUUUUAUUUGAAAAUGCAUAUAUUGUAUUUUAGUAAACCUUUCUACUCUUGUAAUAUUUGAGGUUUUCACAGUGGUGAGUAUGAAAAUUUCUGUCUUCUGGGUUGUUGCGCUGUGUAGUAUGGCAGAUGUUUACCAACGUUUCUGAGGUCAUACUGCCUCCGUCAUCAGGGUCAUCUUAUUUGAGGUUCUGUUAAACUUCUAGUAAGGUUUGACACGUAUACAUAAAACAACGUAAUUUAAGUAUGACUCGAAGUUUACAAAUUCCCCCACAACUAUUCCAGUGGCAUUAUCUUGCCGUUCACACAACAGACCUUUGUUAGAAUUACUUUCUGGCUGAGAAUUGUUCAAAGAGAACGCAUUUCGUUGUAUAUUUGAACACAGCACAUUUGUUACAAAUUAUAUCGUUCUAUUUCAGAGUUGUCUUCGAAGCAUUUUUCAAUGGGGUAUGGUUCAAUGCGAACUUCUCCUAUACCAGUUUGCUAGAAGAUUUUGCCUUGGUGUUUGUACCAAAAAUUUACGACAUCGAUAGUGCGAACACGAGAGCUUUAUUUAAUGUAGAUCUGCGCAUUCAUUUUACGACAGAUAAAGGAUAGAAGCGUACUGGACCAUCACCAUCUUCUCUCUUGUCCAGACAGGAGCUCAACUUUGUAUCUGAGAUAAGGUGAGCCAUUAACUGGGGACUGAUUGUGUAUUCAUUGAGUGAAACUUCUUGUAGCUUCAGGCUGUUGUAAAACCUGUAUCAUUUGUUUGUCAGUCGACUAUUAACCUCGUAAACAGUUGCUAGGUGAAUGCCCCCUCUUCAGGCAAUGUAGGCUACACGUGUUUUUACAUCGCGAUGUUGAGAAUUUGUUACGUCAUAUAAUGUGGUGUUAGGAAUGCACAUAUUGUUAAGUGCUGGUGUGCAGAGACCAUAUCAAAGAAGAUUAAAAUUUCAGUUGUAAAUUACAGUCUUUCAGAAAUAAAUUAUCAUGUAAAAGAUAUAUGUUAUGAUAUGAUUAGAAUUUAUUUAGGCAUAUUGCUUACAGUUGUACAAAUGAACCUGUUAGUUAUAUUAUUUAUAAUUUUCACACUUGAAAUCUUCAAAACCGACGUGUAAAAAUUACACGACCCAAGGCAAUUUGUCUGGACAUUAGAAAUUCGUUCUCAUAUUAUGACUUGCUCGUUGUCAUGACCGGAGUA